rnacentral:rRNA from 1 species
CAGUCGCCGCGGUAAUACAGAGGGUGCGAGCGUUAAUCGGAUUUACUGGGCGUAAAGCGUGCGUAGGCGGCUUUUUAAGUCGGAUGUUAAAUCCCUGAGCUUAACUUAGGAAUUGCAUUCGAUACUGGUAAGCUAGAGUAUGGGAGAGGAUGGUAGAAUUCCAGGUGUAGCGGUGAAAUGCGUAGAGAUCUGGAGGAAUACCGAUGGCGAAGGCAGCCAUCUGGCCUAAUACUGACGCUGAGGUACGAAAGCAUGGGGAGCAAACAGGAUUAGAUACCCCAGUAGUCCCUGUCUCUUAUAC